GACGGAAGGUGCAAGCGUUGCUCGGAAUCACUGGGCGUAAAGCGCACGUAGGCGGCUUUCUAAGUCAGGGGUGAAAUCCUGGAGCUCAACUCCAGAACUGCCUUUGAUACUGGAGAGCUUGAGUCCGGAAGAGGUGAGUGGAACUCCGAGUGUAGAGGUGAAAUUCGUAGAUAUUCGGAAGAACACCAGUGGCGAAGGCGGCUCACUGGUCCGGUACUGACGCUGAGGUGCGAAAGCGUGGGGAGCAAACAGG
rnacentral:rRNA from 1 species